rnacentral:tRNA from 3 species
GCCGGGAUGGCGGAAUUGGCAGACGCUUGGGACUUAAAAUCCCAUGGAGAGUUAUCUCCAUGCCGGUUCAAGUCCGGCUCCCGGCA